rnacentral:rRNA from 1 species
UACGGAGGGUGCAAGCGUUAUCCGGAUUCACUGGGUUUAAAGGGUGCGUAGGCGGGGAUAUAAGUCAGGUGUGAAAGCUCCGGGCUUAACUUGGAAACUGCCAUUGAUACUGUAUAUCUUGAAUGUCGUUGAGGUUAGCGGAAUGUUGCAUGUAGCGGUGAAAUGCUUAGAUAUGUUACAGAACACCAAUUGUGAAGACAGCUAACUAAGCGAUGAUUGACGCUGAGGCACGAAAGCGUGGGGAGCAAACAGG